AACGCUGGCGGCGUGCCUAACACAUGCAAGUCGAACGAGAAAGUGGAGCAAUCCAUGAGUAAAGUGGCGACCGGGUGAGUAACACGUGACCAAUCUACCCUUGAGUGGGGGAUAACCUCGGGAAACCGGGGCUAAUACCGCAUAAUAUCCUUGGAACGGAAGUACUGGGGAUCAAAGGAGUAAUUCGCUUAAGGAGGAGGUCGCGGCUGAUUAGCUAGUUGGCGGGGUAAUGGCCCACCAAGGCAAAGAUCGGUAGCCGGCCUGAGAGGGCGCACGGCCACACUGGAACUGAAACACGGUCCAGACUCCUACGGGAGGCAGCAGUGGGGAAUUUUGCGCAAUGGGGGAAACCCUGACGCAGCAACGCCGCGUGGAGGAUGAAGUCCCUUGGGGCGUAAACUCCUUUCGACC
rnacentral:rRNA from 1 species